CAGCAGCCGCGGGAAUACGAAGGGUGCAAGCGUUACUCGGAAUUACUGGGCGUAAAGCGUGUGUAGGUGGUUGUUUAAGUCUGUCGUGAAAGCCCUGGGCUCAACCUGGGAACUGCGAUGGAUACUGGGCGACUAGAGUGCGGUAGAGGAUAGUGGAAUUUCCGGUGUAGCAGUGAAAUGCGUAGAGAUCGGAAGGAACAUCUGUGGCGAAGGCGACUAUCUGGGCCAACACUGACACUGAGACACGAAAGCGUGGGGAGCAAACAGGAUUAGAUACCCGCGUAGUCCCUGUCUCUUAUAC
rnacentral:rRNA from 1 species